rnacentral:tRNA from 1 species
GCCCCGGUAGCUCAGCUGGAUAGAGCAGCGGACUUCUAAUCCGCAGGUCGCUGGUUCGAAUCCAGCCCGGGGCG